GAUUGCAACUUCCAUCAUGGUCCAAACUUCUGUUGGUGGAGCUAUCGAUGGUACUGCUGUAGCUCCAUCUUCUCCUGUCACCCCACCUUCAACGGAUGGCACCUCAGGGAGCGUUGUCGAGGCUGACAAUGCCAAAAUCAGCUCAAAAAUUGAUGCCGAUGGUAUGUCGGAUUCUCUUAUCAGUGCAGAUGAAGCAGUUGCCCGAUCCUUCUUCGGU
rnacentral:lncRNA from 1 species